rnacentral:lncRNA from 1 species
CUACAUACAAGAAGAAAAAUAACAAUACUAACAGUUCAAGCUGAAAUAAAGAUGAAAUGUCAAGUGGAUUGAUACUCAAGACUGAAGCUAGAGAUUUAUAUACUAGUUUUAAUUUUUUGAAAAAUAAUUCUUUUAAAUUUUGACUGCAUGUAUUUAUGGCGAUUUGAACUGUCA